UACGAAGGGGGCUAGCGUUGUUCGGAAUUACUGGGCGUAAAGCGCGCGCAGGCGGUUUUUCAAGUCAGUGGUGAAAGCCCGGAGCUCAACUCCGGAAAUGCCAUUGAAACUGUUAAACUUGAGGAUGAGAGAGGUGAGUGGAAUUCCCAGUGUAGAGGUGAAAUUCGUAGAUAUGGGGAGGAACACCGGUGGCGAAGGCGGCCAUCUGGACGGAUACUGACGCUGAGACGCGAAAGCGUGGGGAGCAACAGG
rnacentral:rRNA from 1 species